UGGGGGAUAUUGCACAAUGGGCGAAAGCCUGAUGCAGCGACGCCGCGUGGGGGAUGAAGGCCUUCGGGUUGUAAACUUCUUUUGCUCUGAACAAGGCAUGCCUUUGGGGUGUGUUGAGUGUAGGGGUUGAUUAGCGCCGGCUAACUACGUGCCAGCAGCCGCGGUAAUACGUAGGGCGCGAGCGUUGUCCGGAAUUAUUGGGCGUAAAGGGCUUGUAGGUGGCUGGUUGCGUCUGUCGUGAAAGCUCAUGGCUUAACGGUGGGUUUGCGGUGGGUACGAGCUGGCUUGAGUGCAGUAGGGGAGGCUGGGAUUCCUGGUGUAGCGGUGGAAUGCGCAGAUAUCAGGAGGAAUACCGGUGGGGAAGGCGGGUCUGUAGGCAAUUACUGACGAAGAGGAGCGAAAGCGUGGGGAGCGAACAGG
rnacentral:rRNA from 1 species